UGUGUCUGCAGCUCUGGGAGAGGAGCUUUUCCUUUGUGUGCCCUUUCUCUCCCAAGGACUGACGCUGUAAAGCCUGAACAAUGGGAUUUGGACUGAUUGGAAUUUUCAUUCUGACUCUUUUACAAGGUAUCCAUUGUGAUGUUCAGCUGGUAGAGUCUGGGGGUGAUGUGACACAGCCUGGAGGAUCUCUUAGCCUUUCCUGCAAAGCUUCUGGAUUCACUUUUAGCAGCUAUGGCAUGCACUGGGUCCGCCAGCCUCCAGGGAAGGGGCUGGAAUGGGUGGCAGUUAUUUAUUAUGAUGGAAGUAACACAUACUAUGCAGACUCUGUGAAAGGCCGAUUCACCAUCUCCAGAGACAACAGCAACAGCAUGCUGUACCUGCAAAUGAAUUCCCUUAAAGCUGAGGACACAGGCCUGUAUUACUGUGUAAGAGACACAGUGAGAAAAAGGAGUAUGAGACCAGACAUAAAACCCCUCAUUCAGAGAGGCCAUGCGGAGAAUGACUUAUAGAAGGAACUCAACAAC